rnacentral:misc_RNA from 1 species
CCGUCACACCAUGGGAGUUGGCCACGCCCGAAGUCGUUACUCUACCUUUUCGGAGGAGGAGGGCGCCGAAGGCAGGGCUGAUGACUGGGGUGAAGUCGUAACAAGGUAGCCGUACCGGAAGGUGUGGCUGGAUCACCUCCUUUAAGGGAGACCUACCCUUGAUUACUCCGAGCGAAAGUUAUUAGGAGAAUUGAGAGGUCACUCUAGGUCGUACAGGGAUUGAGGUAGAGUUUCUAAACUAAGUCGAGGUUAAUCGGUCUGAGGCAGUCUGUAUGGCUGUUUGGGAUAGAUUAACGGGGGCUAUUAGCUCAGGUGGUUAGAGCGCACCCCUGAUAAGGGUGAGGUCCCUGGUUCGAGUCCAGGAUGGCCCACUAAGCGUGGGGGUAUAGCUCAGCUGGUAGAGCGCCUGCUUUGCAAGCAGGAUGACAGCGGUUCGAGUCCGCUUACCUCCACCAGAGAGGGAUAUUCAGUUAGCACAUUGUAGGUUGUUCAUCGAAGAGAUGGGUGACGUAUAGUCUGCUAGGUGAGAGCCUAGUGAAGGACCUAGACAACUGAAUACGAGAGAAGUGUAAGGUAGUACACACAGAACAUGAGUGUUCGUUGAGAGCAGAGUGAGUUCAGUUAGUUUAUCUAGCG